rnacentral:miRNA from 1 species
AGCAUGACAGAGGAGAGGUGG